CGGAACACGUACACAACCUUCCGAUAAGUGGGGAAUAGCCCAGAGAAAUUUGGAUUAAUACCCCGUAACAUAUAGAGUAGGCAUCUUCUUUAUAUUAUAGCUUCGGCGCUUAUUGAUGGGUGUGCGUCUGAUUAGGUAGUUGGCGGGGUAACGGCCCACCAAGCCUACGAUCAGUAGCUGAUGUGAGAGCAUGAUCAGCCACACGGGCACUGAGACACGGGCCCA
rnacentral:rRNA from 1 species